CCUACGGGUGGCAGCAGUGAGGAAUAUUGGUCAAUGGCCGGAAGGCUGAACCAGCCAUGCCGCGUGAAGGUCAGUGCACUAUGGGCGUUAAACUUCUUUUGUGCGGGAGCAAUAAUGGUCACGUGUGGCCAGACGAGAGUACCGUACGAAUAAGCAUCGGCUAACUCCGUGCCAGCAGCCGCGGUAAUACGGGGGAUGCAAGCGUUAUCCGGAUUUAUGGGGUUUAAAGGGUGCGUAGGCUGGGAGGUAAGUCAGCGGUGAAAUGCCCACGCUCAACGGGUUGAAGUGCCAUUGAUACUGUGCUGCUGGAAUGCGGAUGUGGUGAGAGGAAUGUGUGGUGUAGCGGUGAAAUGCAUAGAUAUUA
rnacentral:rRNA from 1 species